CAUUGAAGUCAAUGGGAGUGUUGCCAUUUGUGGGCUUCUGCCACGUCCUGUAUAUGGUACUGAGAACUGGAGGGGGAAAAGGAGUAUAUUCAAAGGGAAGAGAACCAAGAGGGGAGGAGCUAAACAGAGCUGCCAUGGAAAAUGACCAGAAAUCUACUAUCUGAGAAAACCCAUCCAUCAUCUUCAGGCAAUCUUCCAAUCUGUUAACUUUAGCUGCUACUAAUAAGUGUCUCAGUCCAGGAAAAGCAAUUAUUACGAUGUUUCACAGAACAGCUUCCAGAUAACAUAUGAUGUAAACUGCUCUUGGGCAACAAAUUCUUCUAAGGAAAUUAGCUUUUUUUUUUUUUUUUUUUUUUUUUUUUUUUUUUUUUUUUUGUCAGUAUGCAGCUUUACCAAUGCAAGUCUGAUAAAAAGAGAGGUAAAGAGGAAGAGCUGUUGGAAAUGUGUUUUGGCCAUAGCUACUGCACCCAUUUACACCUCCCAAAGACUUGAAUCACAAUGCUCUAUAAAGCCCUUGUUAUGGGUUUGAUCAGUGUGCAGACUGUCAGUAAGGAUGAGAGAUCUUACACGUGACUGAGAUAUGGUCAGUAAUGUGUUACAUCACAUAGAGCCAAACCAGGCGACCUGGUUGGACUGCAAGUUCACAUCCUGAGAGAGAUAUCUCACCUACUAUCUAACACACGUAACCAGCAAUGCAGAACAAGCCAAGCUCUGUGUGUUGGCAUCUCUAUUUUGAUUCUUGCUGUUUUGGGGCCCUUAAUGAACAUGCAGCACCAUAGCAGGCUGCUGUCUGCAGUCAGUACCUGCUCAGUGCUCACGCCUGGCAGUCACUUGCAUUUCUCUGUCCUCAGUCUCCACAGCACAUGGAAAGCUGCUCUGGCAGCCUCUCCAAAGUAAUCAAGGACUGUUAUUAGGUAGCUUAGAUGGAUAUCCUGAUGGAGGAUGAAAUCACCUGAUCUCCCAGUGCAGAGAGCUUCCUAUUAGAAAAAGCGAAACUAAAACAGGAGAGUGUCAAAAGAGCAGUACAUGAUUUAUCUAUGACUACCUUCACUGUAGCAUGAUUUCUGUAAUGAGGUGCUUCUGUCAAGGAAUUGAGGAGGAAAUGUGGAUAAUUCCCCUGUGGCAAAAACCAUACAUUGGCAAAGUCUACUUUCAGAUCCUAGAGCCAAUACAUUUAGGAUCAGUCAGAUGUGGUGGCAUCUCACCAAGCCUCUCUGAUUGGUUUUGGGCGCUGGUUAAUGUCACACAUCUCUUUAGAAAGUUCCUCAUGACUAAUACCUGGCUGUUCUUCACAUGUCAUUGUAAGCAGAUGUUACCUUGUGACUAACUUUCUGUCUGCCCUUGCUAGACUCCUUGAUCUUGAAGGCUAACAACAUUUAGCAUGAUUCCAUUUAGCAUGAUUCCAUGAUUCCAGACCCAUCUACCUCAUCAGACUCAAUGACUUGUCUUUUCAAUUCCACUUCUCUGUGUAUUAUUGAUUCUCUUGGCAUGUUUAGAUUUCUGGUUGCAAACUUGCUUUCUGAUCCCUGAAGAAUUACAUGCUAAAAGGAAAGCAAUUCCUUCCAAAAAUUUCAGAUUAGUGUGCUAGAUCUUUCUGUGUAAAUGUAACCCAAACCUAGAGACCCAUUUACUUUCUGAGCAAAGGUUUGGUCUUGAGUACCAUCAUUAAGCUGUUUGCCUUUAAUUGUCGAAGACUGACAGAUGCCAGCAAACAAUUUGAUUUCAAUGUCUAACAAGAGGGUAAGAUACAUUGCUGAAAGGUCAACAGUUGGUAUUUGGGAGUUUUUGGGAGUUCUUGGCCCCUUGGACACCCCGCUAGUAAGUGCUUGGAAAGGCUGAUUUUGCCAUAAGGCAUGCAAGUUGAUCAGAGUUUGGUUAUAGGAAAGUCUGCAUUCUUUGUGCAGUUCAUAGGUGAUUUAAAGUAUUCACUAAUUUAGUUGUGUCCUUUGGCAGUUGUGUCCUAGGCAGUAAUUCUAUGCAGUGGGAUGGAAAGUGUUAAAAUUACUUUCCCUAGGAUAGGACAUACUGGGAACUUCUGCCUUGCCUUGCCUUUUUUUUUUUUUUUUUUUCCCUUCAUGUGAGCAGUUUUUGGGCCUCAAAGAUGUAACAUAUUAAAAUGUGAUCAUGAAAUUGUGAUCAGGAAGCAUUUAAUGGUACCUGCUUGAUUCCUGACAGCAUUAUGCUGUCUGUAAUGAUGAGAAAGGUAAAAAUAAAAAUGAUGUUUCCAAUUUGAGAGAUGCUCUGUAGCAUUAACAGGGAGUCCAACAAUUUCAAGGAUAGAAAUUCUUAUAUUCCUAGUGAACUGAAAAAAGUGCUACUUCUUCCUGUAUGUUAUAGGAGAAGAUUCUUUUUAAAAAAAUGUAAAUUAAGUUAUCAAAUCUAAACUCAUUCUUUGCCAUCAGUUUGAAACCAGAAAUUGUCACUUCUUUCCUAGAGACAUCCAUUUUCAUUGAGAGUGACUCUGGCCUUUGUGGUGUUACUCUGUUAUGUUAUUUCUCAGCAAUGUGCUCAGCCUCUACAGUACAAACCAUUAAUGAAUAUGUUUUUUUCCAUGCAGAUAUUCAUCUUCUUGUAUAAGACAGUCUUGCUCCCUAAAUCUUUUAGACCUAUCACUCAGUUUAUAUGCACAACAAGUCUUUGACAGUUCUGUAUUUCUUCCUAAAGUAGAAAGUCAAGAGGAAAUAAAAAUGAAUUCUUAUGCCUGAGUAUUUGAAAAUUACUCUGGUCUAGAUGUCACUAAGGCACAAAUGUCACAGUACAUAUUUAAAAAGAAAUCACCAGAUGCAGAAUACAACAUUCCAGACACACCAGAUUGUAUUCCAAUUCAUAUGAGCCUUUUGUCUGAGUAAUUUACUCUCCUGAGAGUUAAGAGAAAUGGGGUGACAAUUUUUCAGUUUUGUACUUCGCAACUUAUUGAGGUCCCCAAAUUCAUAUUUCUUUACUUUCUUUUUUUGUACUCACUGUGUUUGUCAGAAGACAUGUAUGAAUGAAAAUAGAUCUGAAAUCUGCAUUGCUUUUCGGGCUUGGUUCAAACAGGAUUAGCAGCCAUAGAAGGAUCUCAACAAAGGUUUCCAUUACUUCCAGUUACAUCAUUAAUGAAGAUCUUUUGAACAUUUUGGUCUUCUGCCUUUCAUAUGAAGAGAAAUAAUGAUCCUGCAUUUGAAAAACAUUUUGAUAUUGCCAGGGAUGCAGACAGUACUCACUGUUAUACCUCUUUACAAAGAGUAAGAAAUAAAAUACCAUUUAACAGAAAGACCAUGCUUUAUUGUAUUUACAACAAUGGAAACUGGAAUAUAACGUUUUAAAAAUCAAGCCACAGAUUAAGUUUUGAUUGCAGUAUUUCGUAUACUGAAAAUAAGAAUAAGAAAGCAAUUAAGCAUUCAUAGUCAUGCUCUCACACAAACACCUUCCAUGGUGAGCCUGUUUAUGCAACUGAGUAUGCCAUACAAUUGCUUUUAUUACCUUCUUAUAAAACAGCCUGUAUAAAACACUUUUUUUUGAUUGUUUCUUUGUGUAUUGUUGAGCAUGUUUGCAUUCUAAAGGGCUUUGCCUCAUUAAAGCAAUUACCAUAAA